rnacentral:lncRNA from 1 species
UUUUCAAGAGGCUUUAGAAAAUAAUUUCUUUUUUCUAACUCCUGACACAGUCUCCAAAGUCAUUCAAAAUAUUUUAAUGUUGCAACUCUUCUCUCAUAAGUAAAAUAGUAGGCUCAAUUGUAAACUCAGAUCAGAACUACGUAUUGGUCAUUUUUUAAUGGCCACAGGCUGUCAAAUGUAUUGAGAUGCUACCAAAAUAUGACUAAUUCAGCAGUGAUUCUGGAAAGCUGUGUGUCUGCUAUAUUUGCACAGUGAGGCACCAUUUACUUAGAAGUGAAGGUUUUCUCAGGUUUUAAAAGGAACAAUUACAUCUGUAUGAUGAGCACCCUCUUUUUACCCUCCAGUAAUGGCCCUGCAUGACAGCUUUGAAGGGAAAACACUGAUCUUCUACGCCCUCACUCCUUUUCGAAAGGGUAGGAUGAUGCAGAAGUCAAGGACCAGGGACUGGAUCAGUGUUAAAAAGAACCUCUGUUCCACAAAGACGGCAUGUGAUCAGUUAAGACUCAGGGAGGAGAAGUCUAGAAUCUAGUGAGGCCGGGUAAUACUGGGGAUGCCUACUUAUCCAGAACAGAUUCCCUGCCUCCGUUUCGGGAUUUCCCAGCUUCUGCUAUACUUCUUGAUGAGAGCUUCCGGCUGAAGGAAUGCCCC